CCUACGGGUGGCAGCAGUGGGGAAUAUUGCACAAUGGGGGAAACCCUGAUGCAGCGACGCCGCGUGAGUGAAGAAGUAAUUCGUUACGUAAAGCUUUAUCAGCAGGGAAGAAACACUGACCUUACGGUCAGCAGACGGUACCUGAGUAAGAAGCCCCGGCUAACUACGCGCCAGCAGCCGCGGGAAUACGGAGGGGGCAAGCGUUAUCCGGAUUUACUGGGUGUAAAGGGAGUGCAGAGGGUGCGCCAAGUCUGGAGUGAAAUGCCGCGGCGUAACUGCGGAACUGCUUUGGAAACUGGCGGACUAGAGUGCGGGAGAGGUAAGCGGAAUUCGUAGUGUAGCGGUGAAAUGCGUAGAUAUUAGGAGGAACACCGGUGGCGAAGGCGGCUUACUGGACCGUAACUGACGUUGAGGCUCGAAAGCGUGGGGAGCAAACAGGAUUAGAUACCCGAGUAGUC
rnacentral:rRNA from 1 species